GCACGGAGUUAGCCGGGGCUUCCUUUAGCGGUACCGUCAGCCCUCCGGAUUGUUCACCCGGUGGGUGUUCGUCCCGCUCGACAGGAGUUUACGACCCGAAGAUCUUCGUCCUCCACGCGGCGUUGCGUCGUCAGGCUUGCGCCCAUUGCGAACAAUUCCCCACUGCUGCCUCCCGUAGGAGUCUGGGCCGUGUCUCAGUCCCAGUGUGUCCGUCCGCCCUCUCAGGCCGGAUACUGAUCGUCGCCUUGGUAGGCCGUUACCCUACCAACUAGCUAAUCAGGCGCGGGCCCCUCUUCCAGCGCUAGGUCUUACGAUCCCCAGCUUUGAUCACCGCUUGUCCAAAAGCAGGAUGUUAUGCGGUAUUAGCGUCCCUUUCGGGACGUUAUCCCCCACUCGAAGGCAGGUCACCCACGUGUUACUCACCCGUUUGCCACUCUACUUGCCCCUUGCGGGGCUUUCGCGUUCGACUUGCAUGUGUUAGGCACGCCGCCAGCGUUGAUU
rnacentral:rRNA from 1 species